UUUGAAAUCUGGCCCUCGGGUCCGAGUUGUAAUUUGUAGAGGAUGCUUUUGGCGAGGUGCCUUCCGAGUUCCCUGGAACGGGACGCCAUAGAGGGUGAGAGCCCCGUCUGGUCGGACACCGAGCCUCUGUAAAGCUCCUUCAACGAGUCGAGUAGUUUGGGAAUGCUGCUCAAAAUGGGAGGUAUAUGUCUUCUAAAGCUAAAUAUUGGCCAGAGACCGAUAGCGCACAAGUAGAGUGAUCGAAAGAUGAAAAGCACUUUGAAAAGAGGGUUAAAAAGUACGUGAAAUUGUUGAAAGGGAAGCGCCUAUGACCAGACUUGCGCCCGGUGAAUCAUCCAGCGUUCUCGCUGGUGCACUUUGCCGGGCACAGGCCAGCAUCAGUUUGGCGCGGGGGAAAAAGGCUUCGGGAAUGUGGCUCCCUCGGGAGUGUUAUAGCCCGCUGCGUAAUACCCUGCGCCGGACUGAGGUACGCGCAUCGCAAGGAUGCUGGCGUAAUGGUCAUCAGCGACCCGUCUUGAAACACGGACCAAGGAGUCGUCUUCGUAUGCGAGUGUUCGGGUGUCAAACCCCUACGCGUAAUGAAAGUGAACGCAGGUGAGAGCUUCGGCGCAUCAUCGACCGAUCCUGAUGUUCUCGGAUGGAUUUGAGUAAGAGCAUACGGGGCCGGACCCGAAAGAAGGUGAACUAUGCCUGUAUAGGGUGAAGCCAGAGGAAACUCUGGUGGAGGCUCGCAGCGGUUCUGACGUGCGAAUCGAUCGUCAAAUAUGGGCAUGGGGGCGAAAGACUAAUCGAACCUUCUAGUAGCUGG
rnacentral:rRNA from 1 species